rnacentral:rRNA from 1 species
GACGAACGCUGGCGGCGUGCUUAACACAUGCGAGUCGAACGGAAAGGCCCUGCUUUUGUGCGGUUCUCGAUUGCCGAACGGGUGAGUAACACGUGAGUAACCUGCCCUUGACUUUGUGAUAACUUCAGGAAACUGGGGCUCAUACCGCAUAUGAUCUCCUGCUGCGUGGUGUGGGUUGGAAAGUUUCGGCGGUUGGGGAUGUACUCGCGGCUUAUCCGCUUGUUUGUGGGGUAGGUGCUUACCAAGGCUUUGACGGGUAGCCGGCCUGAGAGGGUGACCGGCCACAUUGGGACUGAGAUAAGGCGCAGACUGCUACGGGAGGCAGCAGUGGGGAAUAUUGCACAAUGGGCGGAAGCCUGAUGCAGCAACGCCGCGUGCGGGAUGACGGCUUUCGGGUUGUAAACCGAUUUCGCAUGUGACGAAGCGUGAGUGACGGUAAUGGGUAAAGAAGCACCGGCUAACUACGUG